AUAUAUGUUUGUUCUCAAGUGGAAUUAAAUGAAGGCGAUUUAAUUACAAAUGUACAAUAAUAAAUAAGUGCGGAAAAGAUGUUCAUCAGUAAAUCGUCGCGUGGUUAUGUAUAGUAUCAAGUAAAAGCUUUUGAUAUUUAGAUGGAAGUAUACAUGUGCAGUCAGUGUUCAUCAGAUAAGGAUUGAUAUGUAUGGGACGUGUCUUCAGUCAUCUCAAAAAUUUACAACCCGCCUUCUUUGAUAUGGUUUUGGCGAAACACUAAGAUCUCAGUUGGAUUACGUACAUCCCUUCAAAAGCUGCUAGUUGUUUGGGGAAGAAGUGUUGCAGAUAACGAUCUAAGGGGCCUCGUCGUGCUGAUUAUUACAAUGGGUGUUGGUAAUACCAUGCGUGGAAAAGGUUUGAAAUGGGGAACUAUUGAGAAUGUGAACAAACGAAAGGUCAAUAAUAAAAAGGAAAGAUGGGAUGCUGGAGGUUUGGAAAUGCAAAGAUCUGUUCAGGAUAGGAAGAAGUAGAGGUGACUGCCCAAUUGUGAUAACGAAAAUAAAUAUUUAAUGAGGGUUUACUCAGUUUCUUUAAAUGUGAUGGACCAUUGCAGGGGUUAGUUUUACAAGUUCAACAAUAGAUAUUCUUCUUUUGAUAGUUGCUUGAGAAAGAAGAAAGAGACGCAAGAAAGGAAGUAGGAGAUCGGGGUAGGAUGAAAGGACGCAGGAGACUGAUAUUGGAUUGUUGCUUGAGAAAGAAGAGAGAGACGCUAGAAAGCAAGCAGGAGAUUGGGGAAGGAUAAAAGGAAGCAGGAGACUGAGGUUGGAACGCUUAAUUGUUUUCCUUUUCCUUCCUGGGGAAGGACUGAGGUCCAGUGGAGCUUUCGUGCUGCAUUAAGGAUGCAAUGAUGGAUCCUGAUCACAUCGGACGUCAUCACCAUCUUCGGCCGUUACUGCAUCCAUGUGCUGCUCCACCAUCUACCAGAGGACUGGACCUCGUUCGGGAUUUUCGGUCGGGAGUGUUUCGGGAGUGUCAUGGAGCGUCCAAAUUCGAAUUUGGAUGUCUCCAUGCCUGCGAUCUCGGAAUUUUCGACGUCCCGAGACUCGGAAACUUCGGAAUUCGGAUCUCGGGGUUGCCAAAACGAUUAAUCCUUCGGGAUUAAUCUGUUUUGGAGAUCCUGAGAUUUGGAUUUCGAAGUUUCUGAAACUCGGUAUCUCGAAACUUCCGAAAUUUCAAGCAUGGGGACUUCCAGUUCGAAUUUGGAUGCUCCAAGCGUCUGGGCCUUGUCCCGGACGGUCUUCGAAUUAACAAAACCUUUCGCGCUAAACCUGGUAGGCGUGAAAAAUUCAUUUUUAUAAAUAAAACACAUCGUAAGGUUC